GCAGGCAGAACGUGGCUGCCCUAUGUAAAUAGGGAGGAAAGUCCGGGCUCCAGAGGAUAACGCAGCGGGUAAUUCCCGUCCAUGUUGAAUAAACAUGCGGAUUAGAGCCACAGAGACGAGUAGCAGCCGUAAGGCUAGCGAGGUGAAACGCGGCAAUCUCUGCGUGGAGCAAUGUAGAAUAGGAGAUGAGCGCUCAUCCGGCGCGAUUUUUCGCUUUUGGGCGAAAAAGAAAUCUCGGGUAAGCUGCUAAAGUUGGCGUGGUAACGCGCUAAUUGAGAGGAAUAGCCACUAAUCGAUGCGCAAACUCGCAUCAAGACAGAACCCGGCUUAUUCUGCCUGCUGUA
rnacentral:RNase_P_RNA from 1 species